GACGAACGCUGGCGGCGUGCUUAACACAUGCAAGUCGAGCGGAGCGGCGAACGGGUGAGUAACGCGUGAGUAACUGCCCCCAUCUAUGGGAUAACAGAUGGAAACGGCUGCAAAUACCGGAUAGUGGGGGAUGACUCGCGUCCUAUCCGGUUGUUGGUGGGGUAGUGGACUACCAAGGCGACGACGGGUAGCCGGCCUGAGAGGGCGACCGGCCACAUUGUGCUGUGCUCCGGCCCAAACGCCUCCGGGAGGCAGCAGUGGGGAAUAUUGCCCAAUGGUGGAAACCCUGAUGCAGCAACCCGCUUGCGUGAUGACGGCCUUCGGGUUGUAAACCGCUUUCAGCCCUGCCGCGGUAGUGGCAGAAGAAGCACCGGCUAACUACGUGCCAGCAGCCGCGGUAAUA
rnacentral:rRNA from 1 species